GUUGCGGUAAAAAAGCUCGUAGUUGGAUUUCUGUCGAGGACGACCGGUCCAUACAAUGUAUGUGCAUCUGGUUCGGCUUCGGCAUCCUCUCGAAAGACGUUUCUGUGCUUGAUUGCAUGGAGCGGAUCUCGGGACUUUUACUUUGAGGAAAUUAGAGUGUUCACGGCAGGCUCGCGCCAGAAUACAUUAGCAUGGAAUAAUACUAUAGGAUUUCGGUUCUAUUUUGUUGGUUUCUAGAAUUGAAAUAAUGAUUAAUAGGGACAAUUGGGGGCAUUCGUAUCAAGGCGUCAGAGGUGGAAUUCUUGGAUUGCCUUGCGACGAACUACUGCGAAAGCAUUUGCCAAGGAUGUUUUCAUUGAUCAAGAACGAAAGUAAGGGGAUCGAAGGCGAUUAGGUACCGUCUUUUUCUUUAUCACAAACUAUGCCGACUAGAGAUGGGAAGUCGUUCUUUUUAGACUUUUUCCGCACCUUAUGAGAUAUCAAAGUUUUUGGGUUCCGGGGGGAGUAUGAGCGCAAGCUUGGAACUUAAAGGAAUUGACGGAAGGGCACCACCAGGAGUGGAACCUGCGGCUUAAUUUGACUCAACACGGGGAAACUCACCAGGUCCAGACAUAAUAAGGAUUGACAGAUUGAUAGCUCUUUCGUGAUUUUAUGGGUGGUGGUGCAUGGCCGUUCUUAGUUCGUGGAGUGAUUUGUCUGCUUAAUUGCGUUAACGAACGAGACCUUAACCUGCUAAAUAGUAGAGUCUAUUUCCGGAUAAACUCCUUGCUUCUUAGAGGGACUUUAUGUGUUUCAAUAUGAGGAAGUUUGAGGCUAAAACAGGUCUGUGAUGCCCUUCGAUGUUCUGGGCUGCACGCGCGUUACACUGAUGCGUUCAACGAGUGUACAACCUUGUCCGAUA
rnacentral:rRNA from 1 species